AGCGAACGCUGGCGGCAGGCCUAACACAUGCAAGUCGAACGAACCUUUCGGGGUUAGUGGCGGACGGGUGAGUAACACGUGGGAACGUGCCUUUAGGUUCGGAAUAACUCAGGGAAACUUGUGCUAAUACCGAAUGUGCCCUUCGGGGGAAAGAUUUAUCGCGUUAGAGCGGGCCGCGGCUGGUUAGCUAGUUGGGUGAGGUAAUUGCCUCUCAAGGCGUGGUUUAGUAGCUGGUUUGGGAGGAUGAUCUGGCACGUUGGGACUGAGACACAGCCCAAACUCCGACGGAAGGGAGCAGUGGGGAAUCUUGCGCAAGGGGCGAAAGCCUGACGCAGCCAUGCCGGGUGAAUGAUGAAGGUCUUAGGAUUGUAAAAUUCUUUCACCGGAGACGAUAAUGACGGUACCCGGAGAAGAAGCCCCGGCUAACUUCGUG
rnacentral:rRNA from 1 species